AACGUAGGACGCAAGCGUUAUCCGGAAUUACUGGGCGUAAAGCGCGUGUAGGUGGAUGUCUAAGUCACUUGUGAAAGCUCCUGGCUAAACUGGGAGAGGUCAGGUGAUACUGGAUAUCUUGAGGAUGUCAGAGGGAAGCAGAAUUCCGGGUGUAGUGGUGAAAUGCGUAGAGAUCCGGAGGAAUACCAGAGGCGAAGGCGGCUUCCUGGGACAUGCCUGACACUGAGACGCGAAAGCACGGGGAGCGAACGGG
rnacentral:rRNA from 1 species